CAAAUUUUGAUCUGAAAUCAGGUAGGAUUACCCGCUGAACUUAAGCAUAUCAAUAAGCGGAGGAAAAGAAACUAACAAGGAUUCCCUCAGUAACGGCGAGUGAAGCGGGAAGAGCUCAAAUUUAAAAUCUGGUUUACUUGUAAGCCCGAGUUGUAGUCUGAAGAAACGUUUUCCAUAAGCACUGAGGCAAAAGUCCCUUGGAACAGGGCAUCAUAGAGGGUGAGAAUCCCGUCCAUGGUCUCAAGUUGUUUAUUUUGUGAUACGUUUUCAAAGAGUCAGGUUGUUUGGGAAUGCAGCCUAAAAUGGGUGGUAAAUUUCAUCUAAAGCUAAAUAUUGGCGAGAGACCGAUAGCGAACAAGUACCGUGAGGGAAAGAUGAAAAGAACUUUGAAAAGAGAGUUAAACAGUACGUGAAAUUGUUGAAAGGGAACCGUUUGAAGCCAGUCUUACUUGCUCGUGAUCAAUUUUUGCCUCGGCAUGAAUGCACUCUCGGGUAUGGUAGGCCAACGACAGUUUAGAAUGCGAGAAAAAAAUAGGGGAAAUGUGGCCUUCGGGUGUUAUAGUCCCUUAUAAAAUAUCGUGUUCUGGACUGAGGAUCGCAGCAAAAAUGUGGGCAGGUGGAUUUCUGUGGUAACUGUCGGUUAGGACAACUUGUUGACCUAGUCUUCCUUAGCCUCACUAUUUACCUUGCUUCUAAUUUGCUUAGGUCGUUGGCAUAAUGGCUUUAAAUGACCCGUCUUGAAACACGGACCAAGGAGUCUAACAUAUAUGCGAGUAUUUGGGUGGCAAACCCAUAUGCGCAAUGAAAGUGAAAUUAGGUGCCAAACCUUCACGGGUGGCAGCAUCGGCCGGCUCUGACGUUUUAACUGACGAGUCUGAGCAGAAGCAUACAUGUUGGGACCCGAAAGAUGGUGAACUAUGCCUGAAUAGGGUGAAGCCAGAGGAAACUCUGGUGGAGGCUCGUAGCGAUUCUGACGUGCAAAUCGAUCGUCAAAUUUGGGUAUAGGGGCGAAAGACUAAUCGAACC
rnacentral:rRNA from 1 species